rnacentral:rRNA from 1 species
GACGUAGGGCGCAAGCGUUGUCCGGAUUUAUUGGGCGUAAAGAGCUCGUAGGCGGCUUGUUGCGUCGACCGUGAAAACCCGUGGCUCAACUGCGGGCUUGCGGUCGAUACGGGCGGGCUAGAGUUCGGUAGGGGAGACUGGAAUUCCUGGUGUAGCGGUGGAAUGCGCAGAUAUCAGGAGGAACACCAAUAGCGAAGGCAGCUCGCUGGGACGUUACUGACACUGAGGCGCGAAAGCGUGGGGAGCGAACAGG